UACAUCAUUUUCAAAAUUAAAUAUAUGUGUUAAACACUAAAACAAGAAACUAUGCAAUUUUUUAUGAAUAAUUAUAUUGACCUAAAUUAUAAUGUAUCGAUAUUGAGUUUUUUAAAAUCUGAAAUUCUAAAAUAUGACGCAUUGAUAUCAUAAUAUGUUGUUUAAAAAAAUAUACAAUGAAAAAAAGAAAUAAAGAAAAUGACAGUUUUUAUGGACAAAUAUGUGUUAAAUUUAUGGAAAAAAAAACAAAUUGUGAAAAUAACUUAGAGCUAAU
rnacentral:lncRNA from 1 species